rnacentral:rRNA from 1 species
AACGAACGCCGGCGGCAUGCCUAACACAUGCAAGUCGAACGAGACCUUCGGGUCUAGUGGCGCACGGGUGCGUAACGCGUGGGAACCUGCCCUUAGGUUCGGAAUAACUCCCCGAAAGGGGUGCUAAUACCGGAUAAUGUCUUCGGACCAAAGAUUUAUCGCCUUUGGAUGGGCCCGCGUUGGAUUAGCUAGUUGGUAGGGUAAAAGCCUACCAAGGCGACGAUCCAUAGCUGGUCUGAGAGGAUGAUCAGCCACACUGGGACUGAGACACGGCCCAGACUCCUACGGGAGGCAGCAGUGGGGAAUAUUGGACAAUGGGCGAAAGCCUGAUCCAGCAAUGCCGCGCGAGUGAUGAAGGCCUUAGGGUUGUAAAGCUCUUUUACCCGGGAUGAUAAUGACAGUACCGGGAGAAUAAGCUCCGGCUAACUCCGUG